rnacentral:snoRNA from 1 species
CUGAUGAUCUCUGUUUUAGCCCUUGAACUCCGAAGGCCUGACCAAUCAGUGCAGUGCUGCUGAUG